rnacentral:snRNA from 1 species
AUACCUACCUGAAAGCAAAGGGAAGGUGCCAUAACUCUUCCAUUAGACCUGGGAUGUGCUGGCUCCUGAGAUUUCCCCAAAUGUGAGAAAUCUGACUGCGUAAUUUAGGGCAGUGGGGGACUACAUUUGUACUCACCCCCU